GAGUUUGAUCCUGGCUCAGGAUGAACGCUGGCGGCGUGCCUAAUACAUGCAAGUCGAGCGAACAGACGAGGACCUUGCUCCUCUGACGUUAGCGGCGGACGGGUGAGUAACACGUGGAUAACCUACCUAUAAGACUGGGAUAACUUCGGGAAACCGGAGCUAAUACCGGAUAAUAUAUUGAACCGCAUGGUUCAAUAGUGAAAGACGGUUUUGCUGUCACUUAUAGAUGGAUCCGCGCCGCAUUAGCUAGUUGGUAAGGUAACGGCUUACCAAGGCAACGAUGCGUAGCCGACCUGAGAGGGUGAUCGGCCACACUGGAACUGAGACACGGUCCAGACUCCUACGGGAGGCAGCAGUAGGGAAUCUUCCGCAAUGGGCGAAAGCCUGACGGAGCAACGCCGCGUGAGUGAUGAAGGUCUUCGGAUCGUAAAACUCUGUUAUUAGGGAAGAACAAAUGUGUAAGUAACUAUGCACGUCUUGACGGUACCUAAUCAGAAA
rnacentral:rRNA from 1 species